rnacentral:rRNA from 1 species
GCGCAGCAGGCGCGAAACCUCCGCAAUGCGGGAAACCGCGACGGGGGACCCCGGACGUGCCGUGGCAACGCCACGGCUUUUCCGGAGUGUACAAAGCUCCGGGAAUAAGGGCUGGGCAAGGCCGGUGGCAGCCGCCGCGGUAAUACCGGCGGCCCGAGUGGUGGCCGCUAUUAUUGGGCCUAAAGCGUCCGUAGCCGGGCCCGUAAGUCCCUGGCGAAAUCCCACGGCUCAACCGUGGGGCUUGCU